rnacentral:tRNA from 1 species
GUCUCGUUAGCUCAGCCGGUAGAGCAUCUCCCCUUUUAAGGAGGGGGCCGUUGGUUCGAAUCCAACACGGGACACCA